AGCACUUUGUGUGUGUAUUUGUCCAACAGGUAGACAAAGGCAUGAAAGACAGGUGCAAAAAUAAACCCUCCUUUGCAGCCCAGAACUCAUGGUUGAUAUGAGUUUUGAUACACAUAGGAAGGAAUAUG
ensembl:snoRNA